UCGUUUUUCCUUUAUAUUUCUCAAAUGCGCUUGCGUUGAAAUGUAGCCUACUAGGAUGGGUUGUAUUAGUGGUAGGCGCCCACCAUGCACGCUGUUUUAAAGGUGUGGUGUUUCAGACCUGUCGCCAUCCGGUGGGAAAUACAUGAGAAAAAAAUUGACAAUUGAGACAAAGCAGUCCCUGUCUUGUCGAAAGGUCUUAAACCAAUUCAAGAAUAGGCCUGAGAGUCCAACCCAAUUUCCCUAUCUAAUGAUGAUCAACAGUAUCAAAUGCAGCACUGAGAUAUAGAAGUACAAGGAUGGAAAUGUUGUCUGAAUCUUAGAAAUAGGAUAAGAAUCUUGGAGUUAGACAUUGAUCUGUAAUUACUAAUCACAGAGGCAUCCAGGCAACUCUUUUUUCAGCAGUUUUCAAGGUAUUUGGAAAGACACUAGACAAAACAAUUAACUAUUUGCAACAGUUCCUCUGCCAAGUAACAAAAGUUUGUAACUAAGCUUUUUACAUAUUUUGAAAAGCUUGUAGGCACAGCAUCAAGGCAGCAGGUGGAGGACGUAAGCUGUUGUCCCAUUUUCUCAAGUGUUAUGCAGUCAGUGAAAUGUGCCAUAGUAUAUUAUUUUUGGAUGGAAACAGAGGCAUAACCUUUCUGCUAGACAUGAAGACACUGGUGGUUUGUCUAAUAUUUACAGAUUUGUAACUAAAAAUAGGCUUGGGGGCAAACGGUGCUGGGGGGCUUACCAGCCUGUCAACCUUGGAAAAAACAAAUGAUCUUAUGAUUUUUAAACUUCUGUUUGUUGAUACGUAUCAAAACUGAACCUGGAGUUUUAUUCUUUACCAUUUAUGCUCAGCCCUUUGGCAUUCUAUUUUCUGUCAUUUUACAGACAUAGCAUUUCUGUAUGGUGCUUUUUGCUUACCAGAGGGUAUUUCUAUUGUAACAGUCAAUACCACUCAUGAUUUUACAAUGAAAAGUCAUUAAUGGAAGAUGUGUUGAGCAUUGGUGAUAUAGAUAUAAUGUUCAUAAAGGUACUGCAGUAGUCUAAUCUUUAUAAUGUUAGUGUUUUGUUUUUUUUGUUGUUUUUUUCGUAUUUCUCGAUUGUAAGGGGAUUCCCAUUCUCCAGGCAGCAAACCUCUCAACUUCAAAGCAGCCCAAAUACAAUCUGGUGGCACUCCAAUCAACCAAGAUGAAGGAACAGACUAACUGAUAGCCUCCUGGAAAUGGCUUUAUUACCAGGCCAUCUUCCUGGUAAUGGCUUUAUGUGCAGGCCAGCGUUGACUUGUCUGUCCUCUGGGUGUACCAUGGUAUGAAAGAGCAGAGUCUGUUGUCACAAACUGUGUCUACCAAUAAUGUUUGUAAUUAAAAUGUUGGAGAUGGGUA